rnacentral:rRNA from 1 species
AGCUCCAAUAGGAUAUAUCAAAGUUGUUGCAGUUGAAAAGCUCGUAGUCGUAUUUCUGGUGGGUUGAUGUGCCAGUACAGGCUUGCAGAAAUGCGAGUUUGGCUCGGUGCCACCUGCCAUUUUGUGGGUCCAAGUUAGGUUGAUGUCCGCAAGGAUGUCUUCCUAGCUCCACUCCGUCACUGAGAGCAAAUUGGAGUGCUCAAAGCAGGCUUUACAGCUUUGAACAUUUUAGCUUGGAAUGACAAAGUACGACUACUCCGUCACUUUGUUGGUUAUGGCAGAGAAGUAAUGAUAAAUAGGAACAGUUGCGGGGGUACUCGUACUGGGAAGUCAGAGGUGAAAUUCUUGGAUUUUCCCACGACGAACGACUGCGAAAGCAUUUACCAAGGAUGUUUUCAUU